AACGAACGCUGGCGGCAGGCUUAACACAUGCAAGUCGAGCGGAGCGAGGGUGCUUGCACCUUAGCUUAGCGGCGGACGGGUGAGUAAUGCUUAGGAAUCUGCCUAUUAGUGGGGGACAACAUUCCGAAAGGAAUGCUAAUACCGCAUACGUCCUACGGGAGAAAGCAGGGGAUCUUCGGACCUUGCGCUAAUAGAUGAGCCUAAGUCGGAUUAGCUAGUUGGUGGGGUAAAGGCCUACCAAGGCGACGAUCUGUAGCGGGUCUGAGAGGAUGAUCCGCCACACUGGGACUGAGACACGGCCCAGACUCCUACGGGAGGCAGCAGUGGGGAAUAUUGGACAAUGGGGGGAACCCUGAUCUAGCCAUGCCGCGUGUGUGAAGAAGGCCUUAUGGUUGUAAAGCACUUUAAGUGAGGAGGAGGCUCUUUUGGUUAAUACCCAAGAUGAGUGGACGUUACUCGCAGAAUAAGCACCGGCUAACUCUGUGCCAGCCGCCGCCGUAA
rnacentral:rRNA from 1 species